CAAUGCAACGACCGUCGCGGUGACCCGCAGGGCCCGGAUGCCAGGGCGUAAAGGUGGAAGCUGGUGCAAGUCCAGCGCUGUGCCGCAACUGUAACCGGUUCGUAGUGCCGGAAGCCAGGAUGCCUGCCGCGAUGUAUGUUGUUCA
rnacentral:ncRNA from 2 species